rnacentral:rRNA from 1 species
UACGGAGGGUGCAAGCGUUAUCCGGAUUCACUGGGGUUAAAGGGUGCGUAGGUGGGCAGGUAAGUCAGUGGUGAAAUCUCCGAGCUUAACUUGGAAACUGCCGUUGAUACUAUCUGUCUUGAAUAUUGUGGAGGUGAGCGGAAUAUGUCAUGUAGCGGUGAAAUGCUUAGAUAUGACAUAGAACACCAAUUGCGAAGGCAGCUCGCUACACAUAUAUUGACUCUGAGGCACGAAAGCGUGGGGAUCAAACAGG